GGCGCUAGGUGUGGGGUCCAUUCCACGGAUUCCGUGCCGCAGCUAACGCAUUAAGCGCCCCGCCUGGGGAGUACGGCCGCAAGGCUAAAACUCAAAGGAAUUGACGGGGGCCCGCACAAGCGGCGGAGCAUGCGGAUUAAUUCGAUGCAACGCGAAGAACCUUACCAAGGCUUGACAUGCGCGGUGGAAUCCCAGAGAUGGGGUGUCAUUUAGUUGGUCGCGUACAGGUGGUGCAUGGUUGUCGUCAGCUCGUGUCGUGAGAUGUUGGGUUAAGUCCCGCAACGAGCGCAACCCUCGUUCCAUGUUGCCAGCACGUUAUGGUGGGGACUCAUGGGAGACUGCCGGGGUCAACUCGGAGGAAGGUGGGGAUGACGUCAAAUCAUCAUGCCCCUUAUGUCUUGGGCUUCACGCAUGCUACAAUGGCCAGUACAGAGGGCUGCGAUACCGUGAGGUGGAGCGAAUCCCAAAAAGCUGGUCUCAGUUCGGAUCGGGGUCUGCAACUCGACCCCGUGAAGUCGGAGUCGCUAGUAAUCGCAGAUCAGCAACGCUGCGGUGAAUACGUUCCCGGGCCUUGUACACACCGCCCGUCACGUCAUGAAAGUCGGUAACACCCGAAGCCAGUGGCCUAACCCUUGUGGAUGGAGCUGUCGAAGGUGGGA
rnacentral:rRNA from 1 species